GACGAACGCUGGCGGCGUGCUUAACACAUGCAAGUCGAACGGAAAGGCCCUGCUUUUGUGGGGUGCUCGAGUGGCGAACGGGUGAGUAACACGUGAGUAACCUGCCCUUGACUUUGGGAUAACUUCAGGAAACUGGGGCUAAUACCGGAUAGGAGCUCCUGCUGCAUGGUGGGGGUUGGAAAGUUUCGGCGGUUGGGGAUGGACUCGCGGCUUAUCAGCUUGUUGGUGGGGUAGUGGCUUACCAAGGCUUUGACGGGUAGCCGGCCUGAGAGGGUGACCGGCCACAUUGGGACUGAGAUACGGCCCAGACUCCUACGGGAGGCAGAAGUGGGGAAUAUUGCACAAUGGGCGGAAGCCUGAUGCAGCAACGCCGCGUGCGGGAUGACGGCCUUCAGGUUGUAAACCGCUUUCGCCUGUGACGAAGCGUGAGUGACAGUAAUAGGUAAAGAAGCACCGGCUAACUACGUG
rnacentral:rRNA from 1 species